rnacentral:rRNA from 1 species
CCAAGGGGAGUGGCGAACGGGUGAGUAACGCGUGGGAACCUACCCAGCAGUUGGGGAUAACCGCGGGAAACUGCGGCUAAUACCGAAUACGUCCUGAGGGAGAAAGAUUUAUCGCUGUUGGAGGGGCCCGCGUCGGAUUAGCUAGUUGGUGAGGUAAUGGCUCACCAAGGCAUCGAUCCGUAGCUGGUCUGAGAGGAUGAUCAGCCACACUGGGACUUAGACACGGCCCAG